CCCUUAGAUGUCCUGGGCCGCACGCGCGCUACACUGACGGAGCCAGCGAGCGUGUCCUUCGCCGAAAGGUGCGGGUAAUCUUGGCAGCCUCCGUCGUGCUGGGGAUAGAUGGUUGCAAUUAUUGAUCUUGAACGAGGAAUUCCUAGUAAGCGCGAGCCACCAGCUCGCGUUGAUUACGUCCCUGCCCUUUGUACACACCGCCCGUCGCUACUACCGAUUGGAUGGCUUAAUGAGAGCUCUGGAUCUCUGCCGGCGCGGUCCUCACGGGUCGCGUUGGAUGGGGAGAAGUUGCUCAAAUUGAGUCUUCUAGAGGAAGUAAAAGUCGUAACA
rnacentral:rRNA from 1 species